rnacentral:rRNA from 1 species
CGGAAAGACCCCGUGAACCUUUACUAUAGCUUGACACUGAACAUUGAGCCUUGAUGUGUAGGAUAGGUGGGAGGCUUUGAAGCGUGGACGCCAGUCUGCGUGGAGCCGACCUUGAAAUACCACCCUUUAAUGUUUGAUGUUCUAACGUGGACCCGUGAUCCGGGUUGCGGACAGUGUCUGGUGGGUAGUUUGACUGGGGCGGUCUCCUCCUAAAGAGUAACGGAGGAGCACGAAGGUUGGCUAAUCCUGGUCGGACAUCAGGAGGUUAGUGCAAUGGCAUAAGCCAGCUUGACUGCGAGCGUGACGGCGCGAGCAGGUGCGAAAGCAGGUCAUAGUGAUCCGGUGGUUCUGAAUGGAAGGGCCAUCGCUCAACGGAUAAAAGGUACUCCGGGGAUAACAGGCUGAUACCGCCCAAGAGUUCAUAUCGACGGCGGUGUUUGGCACCUCGAUGUCGGCUCAUCACAUCCUGGGGCUGAAGUAGGUCCCAAGGGUAUGGCUGUUCGCCAUUUAAAGUGGUACGCGAGCUGGGUUUAGAACGUCGUGAGACAGUUCGGUCCCUAUCUGCCGUGGGCGCUGGAGAACUGAGGGGGGCUGCUCCUAGUACGAGAGGACCGGAGUGGACGCAUCACUGGUGUUCGGGUUGUCAUGCCAAUGGCACUGCCCGGUAGCUAAAUGCGGAAGAGAUAAGUGCUGAAAGCAUCUAAGCACGAAACUUGCCCCGAG